rnacentral:sRNA from 1 species
AAAAGGCGGAAGCGGAAGUCGGGGGGCGCGCCAGCUCGUAGCAGGGGAGCGCCCGCGGCGUCGGGUUUGGGCUGGAGGUCGCCAUGGGGCGAGGCAGCGGCACCUUCGAGCGUCUCCUAGACAAGGCGACCAGCCAGCUCCUGUUGGAGACAGAUUGGGAGUCCAUUCUGCAGAUCUGCGACCUGAUCCGCCAAGGGGACACACAAGCAAAAUAUGCUGUGAAUUCCAUCAAGAAGAAAGUCAAUGACAAGAACCCACACGUCGCCUUGUAUGCCCUGGAGGUCAUGGAAUCUGUGGUAAAGAACUGUGGCCAGACAGUUCAUGAUGAGGUGGCCAACAAGCAGACCAUGGAGGAGCUGAAGGACCUGCUGAAGAGACAAGUGGAGGUAAACGUCCGUAACAAGAUCCUGUACCUGAUCCAGGCCUGGGCGCAUGCCUUCCGGAACGAGCCCAAGUACAAGGUGGUCCAGGACACCUACCAGAUCAUGAAGGUGGAGGGGCACGUCUUUCCAGAGUUCAAAGAGAGCGAUGCCAUGUUUGCUGCCGAGAGAGCCCCAGACUGGGUGGACGCUGAGGAAUGCCACCGCUGCAGGGUGCAGUUCGGGGUGAUGACCCGUAAGCACCACUGCCGGGCGUGCGGGCAGAUAUUCUGUGGAAAAUGUUCCUCCAAGUACUCCACCAUCCCCAAGUUUGGCAUCGAGAAGGAGGUGCGCGUGUGCGAGCCCUGCUACGAGCAGCUGAACAGGUGAGGCCCCGCCCCCCAUUGGGGCUGCAGGUGGGGCAGGCUCUCCAGGCUGGGUUUUCUGUCCCUCUUGGCCAUGGUGCCUGAGGCCUGCAGACCCCAGAGGACCCUCACAGCACAGCAGCUGGAAGGUCAAGGGAAACCCAGGGUGGCCGCGUGCCCUCGGGCCCUGCCCCACACUAGGGCAGGUGGGUGUGUGAGACAGGGCGCUGCGGCUCCAGGGACCGAGGCUGCCCCGACAAACCUGUUGCUUGGGUUUGGG